AAGACUAUACUUUCGGGGAUCAUUUCUAUAGUUCAUCACUAGAGAAGGUCUCUGAACAUGUAGAGCACCGAGUCAAGAAAUAACUAAGAUCAGA
rnacentral:snoRNA from 1 species